UACAGAGGUCCCGAGCGUUGUUCGGAUUCACUGGGCGUAAAGGGUGCGUAGGUGGUGAGGUAAGUCGGAUGUGAAAGCCCGGGGCUCACCCCCGGAAGUGCAUUGGAGACUGGCGGGCUCGAGUCCCGGAGAGGAGGGUGGAAUUCCUGGUGUAGCGGUGAAAUGCGUAGAUAUCAGGAGGAACACCGGUGGCGAAGGCGGCCCUCUGGACGGUGACUGACGCUGAGACGCGAAAGCGUGGGGAGCAAACAGG
rnacentral:rRNA from 1 species